UGCCACCCUACGACCCGGAGAAAGGUUGCUUUUACCUUGAUUCACUCAGUUGACUAUUUUAUCCAAAUCUGUUUACAAAUGGUCACCGAACAUUUGCCAACAAGAAGUGUAGCACCUAAGGCGGAUGCACCUUUAAGUUAGUUUGCCAACCGCUAUAAAACUCCAACAGAAAACUAAAGAAGAAGAAACUUCUCUUCGCCCUCAAGAUUAAGAUGCAAAAAUUCAAAACCUUGCCAAGUGACACAGAGUGCAAUAAAACAAGGGCGAACAUUAAUAUCACAACAUGGAUCUUCAGCAACUAAAAGCCAAACUUCCAGUUUUCUUCUCGACAGGAGGGCAGAAUUUCCUCAGAUACUGCAUGGCUAAACUUCAACACCUGACCCUGACCCAAAUGUUGUCUGCAUGCAUACAGUUUGCAGCUUAAGUUCAGUUGGAUUUGCUGAAUUUUUCAAGCAUUGCAGAAAACAGAUCAAGACAAAACACAGGGCAAUCCAAAGUCAAACACCUGAGCCCAAGCGAGAGGCAUCUGGACAGUUAGCAGCCCUUAAACUAGCUCACCGCGUCAUUUUCUUCAUUGUCUGGGUCAAAGUGCACGGAGAGUCAGUGUAGAGACUGCGGUUACUGAGGCCCUGACAGAUCAUUGACAGCCAUUUACAAGAUUUUUUCCCACGCAAAUCCUGACUCUGAAGGCCUUCCUGGCUCCAGAGGAUAACGAUGCCCACCCGUCCAUAGCUGAUGAUGAGAGGAGGACUUAAAGAAGAGAAAAGACAGAAACUGCGCGCAGAACUCCGUCAGUAGGCGGCUGAGAAGAGGGAAAAACAUAUGCCCUUAAGUUCUGAUCUCUGCCGAAUGCUUCUGACAGCUCCGCUGAGAGUCAUUAAUCUCUUGAGGAAGCACAUCAGCGCAUAGUAGGCUACAUAUAUGAGGAUAUCUGCACAUGCACGUUGAGGGUUUGGCGGUGCGAACAGGCCGAGAGCUACAGAGAGGAGAUGGGGGCGGACUGCUGAAAAACGACGCUCAGGUUGAUGUGACAGCCUCCCAUCCAUCAUGCUGAGAGGGGCCGAUCCAUAGAACGGAGUGGGGGGUGUAUCUGAGGUAAUAUUCUCCCUCUUAAUUACUCUAGAAGGAUAAUGGCUGAGAUGACUUUGAGGAGGACAGAUGACAACAGAUGAACUGUUACUGGCUAGGAUCACUCUCAGGUACAGGUUGUCAGUAUUGGCCUUUCUGAACUCCGGGCGUAUGUUUAAUGUAUUACAUGAGGGGUGCUUAGGAUAUGGGUGGAGGUGUGUGUGUGUGUGUGUGUGUGUGUGCACUUUCGAGGAGGUCUCUUCAUUAGUGCCACUCCUCUGCACUUCCUCAGAUAAUCCUCACACCCUGCGGAGACUACAGGAGAACUGGCAGCAACACACACACAAACACUCACGAUCUGUACACACACCACUUCCAGUCUGUAUGUCACCUCUAUAGGAUGCGAAAAGCAUAUUGUUCACCUUUUAGCUCAUUUAUCUCUGUAGGCAGAAUUGUUUUUAUUUACAUCAAUUCGUACCUUUCAACAAGUCCGUCACUGAUAUGUAUUGAGAUGAGUUAUUCUAUGUUUAAAAUUUGAGUAUAUGUUCAGUGUUUUUUAAUGUGUACUUACUUAAUAACAGUAACUAUUUCAUGCAGUUAACCCUAAACAAAGCCCUAAUCCUAACC